GCCUCGGUAGUGUAGUGGGAAGCACGCCAGACCGGAUAUCUGUAAGUGCGGGUACCAGUCCUGCCUGAGGUU
rfam:Dictyocaulus viviparus strain HannoverDv2000 D_viviparus-1.0_Cont199.1, whole genome shotgun sequence.